rnacentral:rRNA from 1 species
GACAGAGGAUGCAAGCGUUAUCCGGAAUGAUUGGGCGUAAAGCGUCUGUAGGUGGCUUUUUAAGUCCGCCGUCAAAUCCCAGGGCUCAACUCUGGACAGGCGGUGGAAACUACCAAGCUCGAGUACGGUAGGGGCAGAGGGAAUUUCCGGUGGAGCGGUGAAAUGCGCAGAUAUCAGGAAGAACACCCGUGGCGAAGGCGGCUCUCUGGGACGGUACUGACGCUGAGACGCGAAAGCGUGGGGAGCGAACAGG